ACGGAAGGCAGCAGUGAGGAAUAUUGGUCAAUGGGCGGAAGCCUGAACCAGCCAAGUCGCGUGAAGGAUGAAGGUAUUAUGUAUUGUAAACUUCUUUAGCAGUGGAGUAAUAAGGGAGUCGUGACUCCUGAUGCAAGUACACUGAAAAUAAGGAUCGGCUAACUCCGUGCCAGCAGCCGCGGUAAUACGGAGGAUCCGAGCGUUAUCCGGAUUUAUUGGGUUUAAAGGGUGCGCAGGCGGCCUUGUAAGUCAGCGGUUAAAUCGUGGAGCUCACCUCCAUCCCGCCGUUGAUACUGCAGGGCUUGAUUGCGGUCGAGGUUGGCGGAAUUCGUCGUGUAGCGGUGAAAUGCAUAGAUAUGACGAAGAACACCGAUUGCGUAGGCAGCUGACCAGGCCGUAAAUGACGCUCAUGCACGAAAGUGCGGGGAUCGAACAGGAUUAGAUACCCUGGUA
rnacentral:rRNA from 1 species